rnacentral:rRNA from 1 species
CAAACAUAGAGCGUGCAAGAAAUACUAUCUAGCUAGAGAUCGGGAGACGUAAGGAGUACGUUUAAAGUAGUAGUAAAAUGCUUUAAUCUUAAGCGGACUAACAAUAGCGAAGGCACCUUACGAGAACGGUUCUGACAGUCAGGGAUGAAGGCUAGGGGCGCAAAACGGAUUAGAUACCCGUGUAGUCCUAGCAGUAAACACUGUACACUAAACAUUGGGACCUCUUCGAGAGGUUUCAGUGCUGCAGGGAAGCCGAAGAGUGUACUACCUGGGAAGUAUAGCCGCAAGGCCGAAACUUAAAGGAAUUGGCGGGGAGACACUACAAUGGGUGACGCGUGCGGUUCAAUUAGAUUAUACACCGUGAACCUCACCAGGAGCGACAGCAGAAUGAAGGUCAGUCUGAAGGGCUUACCUGACACGCUGAGAGGAGUUGCAUGGCCGACGUCAACCUGUGCCGUGAGGUGACCUGUUAAAUCAGGUAACAGGCAAGACCCACAUCUCUAUUUACCACGUGUACUAUAGAGAGAUUGCCUUGGUAACGAGGAUGAAAGUGUGGGCUACGUUAGGUGAGUACAGCCCGAAUCCCCUGGGCAACACGCGCGCGUCAAUGGUGAAUACAACGGGACGCAACUCCGAAAGGAGAAGCUAAUCUCUUAAAGUUCAUCUCAAUUCAGAUUGAGGUUUGUAACUCAGCCUCAUGACGCUGGAAUCCAUAGUAAUCGUUUGUUAGCAACGAACGGUGAAUACGUCACUGUCUCU